rnacentral:lncRNA from 1 species
CUAUAGUUAAUAAUAAUGUGUUUUGAAAAACACUAUAAAAGUAGAUGGGGGGUGGGCUGGGACUGUAGCUCAGUGGCAGAGCACUUGCCUAGCAUGUGUGAGGCACUGGGUUCAAUCCUCAACAUCACAUAAAAAUAAACAAAUAAAAUAAAGGCAUACUGUCCCUCUUCAACUAAAAAAAAAAAAGUAGACGGGGGGAGUGUACCAGAGAUUGAACUCAGGAGCACUCAACCACUGAACCACAUCCCCAGCCUGAUUUUGUAUUUUAUUUAGAGACAGGAUCUCACUGAGUUGCUUAGUUUUUCUCUUUUAUUGAGGCUGGCUUUGAACUCACUAUCCUCUUGCCUCAGUCUCCAGAGCUGCUGAGAUUACAGGCAUGCACCACUGUGCCCAGUAUAAAGGUGGAUUUUAAAGUAUUUUUACCACAAAAAAAAAUAAUAAGAAUAUGAGGUAAUGCAUAUACCAAUUAGUUCUAUUGAGCACAUUGUAUACAUAUUUCACAACACCAGGUAACACACAAUAGAUUCACACAAUUUUUAUUUAUCAAGUAAAAAAAAAAUCCUAGUUUCACUGUUAAUCAUAAAAACUUUUAGAAUAUUUUGGUAAGGUAUAAAAAUAUUCUAGACUUGCUUACUUUUUUCACAUUACUUAUACUGAAGAAUAAUAGUAAACAUAAAGAAGUUAAAGGAAAAAAAUUGUCCAGGAAAUAUAGUUUCCUCUGCUAGCAAUUUUAUAGUCAACGUUUUAUAGUAAAUAAUAAUAGUGGAUUUUUACUUUCUAGGCUCCUAAAUAAAGGGUUGUUUCAUAGAAGCCUCUUUUUUCAAAAUUAGGAUAAGAGAUAGCAGAAAUGGAGAAAAGAAGAAAAAUCCCCCAAAACUCAGAAAGUGAGCAGCCAGUUCAUAAUGCACAGAGAGAUAUCCAAUAGUGAUAAUGAGCUGUGAAGCCAAAGAAGAUUCCUAGAAAAAUCAACAGUAUCAAGAUAUAGGGCCUGCUAAAGAGAAAGUUAGAUCCCACCUUCAAAAGAUCUAAGGCCAGUGGUGAACCAAAUCAAAUUGCAAAAAUACUGCCCUUCCAGUUCAAUAAGAGAUCAAAUUGAUUCUGUCCCCUUCUAGUAGGCUGAUACACAAAAAUGGUGUGCCCCUUUCUGAAAGCCAGUGUUGUUUGCUUCAGUCCAUACUAUUCGUUUAUAAAAUGUGC